UACGAAGGGGGCUAGCGUUGCUCGGAAUCACUGGGCGUAAAGGGUGCGUAGGCAGGUCUUUAAGUCAGGGGUGAAAUCCUGGAGCUCAACUCCAGAACUGCCUUUGAUACUGAAGAUCUUGAGUUCGGGAGAGGUGAGUGGAACUGCGAGUGUAGAGGUGAAAUUCGUAGAUAUUCGCAAGAACACCAGUGGCGAAGGCGGCUCACUGGCCCGAUACUGACGCUGAGGCACGAAAGCGUGGGAGCAAACAGGG
rnacentral:rRNA from 1 species